rfam:Beta vulgaris subsp. vulgaris Bvchr2.sca015.con0066.1, whole genome shotgun sequence.
AUGGAAGUGAUGAUUAUUUCCCCAGAUGAUCGACGCUGAAAUUACUGAGCGCUAUUUAAUUCUCUUUGAGAAUUCAAGCCAGAAUUCUGAUCCAU